UACAGAGGUCUCAAGCGUUGUUCGGAUUCAUUGGGCGUAAAGGGUGCGUAGGCGGCGCGGUAAGUCGGGUGUGAAAUCUCGGAGCUUAACUCCGAAACUGCAUUCGAUACUGCCGUGCUUGAGGACUGGAGAGGAGACUGGAAUUUACGGUGUAGCGGUGAAAUGCGUAGAUAUCAGGAGGAACACCGGUGGCGAAGGCGGGUCUCUGGGCCGAAAUUGACGCUGAGGAGCGAAAGCGUGGGGGAGCAAACAGG
rnacentral:rRNA from 1 species